rfam:Paludisphaera borealis strain PX4, complete genome.
GGGCAGAUAGCUCAGUUGGUAGAGCAACGGACUGAAAAUCCGUGUGUCGGGAGUUCAACUCUCCCUCUGCCCA